rfam:Camelus ferus unplaced genomic scaffold scaffold273, whole genome shotgun sequence.
GAGGGUAGAGCUCAGGGGUGGAGUGUGUGCUUAGCAUGCACAAAGUCCUGGGUUCAACCCCCAGCACCUCCA